AGAGUUUGAUCCUGGCUCAGAUUGAACGCUGGCGGCGUGCUUAACACAUGCAAGUCGAGCGGUAGCAGGCGUAGCAAUACGUGCUGACGAGCGGCGAACGGGUGAGUAAUGCUUCGGAAUCUUCCUAGUAGUGGGGAACAACCUGGGGAAACUCAGGCUAAUACCGCAUACGACCUACGGGUGAAAGCAGGGGAUCGCAAGACCUUGCGCUAUUAGAUGAGCCGAAGUCGGAUUAGCUAGUUGGUGAGGUAAAGGCUCACCAAGGCGACGAUCCGUAGCUGGUCUGAGAGGACGACCAGCCACACUGGGACUGAGACACGUCCCAGACUCCUACGGGAGGCAGCAGUGGGGAAUAUUGGACAAUGGGGGCAACCCUGAUCCAGCGACGCCGCGUGUGUGAAGAAGGCCUGCGGGUUGUAAAGCACUUUUAGUGGGGACAAAAAGCCAUGGGUUAACACCCUGUGGUCUUGAUUUAACCCAAAGAAAAAGCACCGGCUAACUCUGUGCCAGCAGCCGCGGUAAUACAGAGGGUGCAAGCGUUAAUCGGAAUUACUGGGCGUAAAGCGUGCGUAGUCGGUUAUCUAAGUCGGAUGUGAAAUCCCCGGGCUCAACCUGGGAAUUGCAUUCGAUACUGGAUAGCUAGAGUUCGGCAGAGGGAAGCGGAAUUUCGGGUGUAGCGGUGAAAUGCGUAGAUAUCCGAAGGAACAUCAGUGGCGAAAGCGGCUUCCUGGACCAGAACUGACGAUCAGGCACGAAAGCGUGGGGAGCAAACAGGAUUAGAUACCCUGGUAGUCCACGCCAUAAACGAUGACAACUAGACGUUGGGAGGGUAAGCCUCACAGUGUCGCAGCUAACGCGUUAAGUUGUCCGCCUGGGGAGUACGGCCGCAAGGUUGAAACUCAAAGGAAUUGACGGGGACCCGCACAAGCGGUGGAGCAUGUGGUUUAAUUCGAUGCAACGCGAAGAACCUUACCUGGUCUUGACAUGUCUGGAAUCCCGAAGAGAUUUGGGAGUGCCGCAAGGAACCAGAACACAGGUGCUGCAUGGCUGUCGUCAGUUCGUGUCGUGAGAUGUUGGGUUAAGUCCCGCAACGAGCGCAACCCUUGUCCUUAGUUGCCAUCAUUAAGUUGGGAACUCUAAGGAGACCGCCGGUGACAAACCGGAGGAAGGUGGGGAUGACGUCAAGUCAUCAUGGCCUUUAUGACCAGGGCUACACACGUGCUACAAUGGCAGGUACAGAGGGAAGCCAACCCGCGAGGGGGAGCUAAUCCCAGAAAACCUGUCUUAGUCCGGAUUGGAGUCUGCAACUCGACUCCAUGAAGUUGGAAUCGCUAGUAAUCGCAGAUCAGCAUUGCUGCGGUGAAUACGUUCCCGGGCCUUGUACACACCGCCCGUCACACCAUGGGAGUUGAUUGCACCAGAAGCAGGUAGCCUGACCGCAAGGAGGGCGCUUACCACGGUGUGGUUAAUGACUGGGGUGAAGUCGUAACUAGGUA
rnacentral:rRNA from 1 species